CUGGUGCUUCCUGCUAGGAACAGUCCACUGCUCUCCUGGACCUUGAUUACUGCAUUCUUCUGGACCAGAUGUAUUCAUAAGCCUGAGGAUCCUCGCACAAGUUCAAUUGAAAUAUGUGUUUAUUUGUCGGUUUGGAUGACUGGGGGAAAUGUGAGAGGGGAGACCAAGGGACAUGAUACAGUGUAUUCACCCUCCAAGCGGAUACCUGGCGCAACAGGUGUUGUUCCUUAUUGGAUACGAAGGUACAGAGGAAGUGGAGUCCAUGCUUUUGGAACUUUUCUCCCCUCUCCUCUGUAUCUUGAUGCUGCUGGGAUGUGUGUCAAAGUCCCAGGGCUUGGUGAAACCACACUCUUGUCCUCCAGUGGGACAGCAGCAGGGCCUCCCAAACUGCACAGUCCAAGCUGGGACAGCUUUCUACUUUCCACUCCCCCUGCCAGCCAUCCGGGGACCUUUACAGCACUAUCAGGUCUCUUUGGCCAAUGAUGAUGCAAUACCAAGGUGGUUGGCGUUCACCGAGAAGACUGGCAAGCUAUUUGGCUUGGCUCUGAGGGAAGAUUGUGGGCAGUACCCUCUUAAAGUAUCCGUCACAGGCCACUGUGUAUCCAUUACCUACUUUCAUCUUCAUGUCCUUAAUGGAACAGUGGGAGAGGGGAGCCUACUCUCUACACACAUAAAGGCCAGUCUCAUCUGCCCUGUGGGGGAGAAUGUCAUCUGGGCUGAUCUAAUGCUUCAGGUGGACCCUGGCAGUUUGGGCGCAGACCAACGUGUACAGCUGACCAGC
ensembl:lncRNA